rnacentral:rRNA from 1 species
GAUGAACGCUGGCGGCGUGCUUAACACAUGCAAGUCGAACGGAAAGGCCCAAGCUUGCUUGGGUACUCGAGUGGCGAACGGGUGAGUAACACGUGGGUGAUCUGCCCUGCACUUCGGGAUAAGCCUGGGAAACUGGGUCUAAUACCGGAUAGGACCACAUUUUGGAUGGUGUGGUGGAAAGUUUUUCGGUGUGGGAUGAGCUCGCGGCCUAUCAGCUUGUUGGUGGGGUAAUGGCCUACCAAGGCGUCGACGGGUAGCCGGCCUGAGAGGGUGUACGGCCACAUUGGGACUGAGAUACGGCCCAGACCCCUACGGGAGGCAGCAGUGGGGAAUAUUGCACAAUGGGCGCAAGCCUGAUGCAGCGACGCCGCGUGGGGGAUGACGGCCUUCGGGUUGUAAACUCCUUUCGCUAGGGACGAAGCGCAAGUGACGGUACCUGGAGAAGAAGCACCGGCUAACUACGUG